GAUGGUUCAGGUUCAGCAUCUUUCAAAAUCCCAGCGGGGGCCACAGGCCUCUGAAGGCUUGAUUAGAGCUGGAAGAAGUGCUUCUAAACUGGGAAACUCCUGUGGCUGAGGGCAAGGCACCUCAGUUUCUCAGGACCUGAUAUUGCACUGUGGAAACCUGAGUGACUCAUACAGGCUGCCUGGGUAUGCUGAAGACAUGGAGGAUAGUGUGCACCAGGUGUGCCAUCACAGGGGAAGCAAGGAGGAAGUCUCAGUGUCUACUAUGAGCUACAGAGUAAACAAGCUGAAGAGGAACAAACCCUGUCUUGGAAUUCAAUAACGACAGGGAAGCUGGAGAGAGACCAGGAAGGAGAGCGCUGAGGGAGAUGGGGUCAUGGUGAGUGCCUUGCUAAC